UUGCGUUUGGAAUCAUGAUGUGAGCUUAUAAAACUCUAUCUUGGACGCAACGAACUGCAUCAACCAGUAAUCAAGGGAUUCUCGAAUACUGGCGGCACGGAUCAAUUAGAGAAACGACGAAAUAUGGCAGGUUAUAGACAUAGCCAUUUAUAACCCUAGAAAAGCCUAAUGAACCGCAUUGAAGCGGGUUUAUCAGACAAACUUGAUAGAUAUACCUAAUUGAUUGUCAUCGACGGAGAGGGGCGCAUUUUUUGCGUAUCUGAUGGCACGUAGGG
rnacentral:ncRNA from 1 species